UAGUGAGGGAGGGGGUGACUAGUGACAGAAUGAGGGAGGGGGUGACUAGUGACAGAGGGAGAUGGUGAUUAGUGACAGAGUGAGGGAGGUGGUGACUGUCACUAGUCAACCCAUCCUUCCCUCUCUCACUAGUCACCCCCUCCUUCCCUCUGUCACUGUGUCACCCCAUCCCUCCCUCUGUCACUGUGUCACCCCAUCCCUCCCUCUGUCACUGUGUCACCCCAUCCCUCCCUCUGUCACUAGUCACCCUCUCCCUCAC